GAGGAGCUGGACAGGAUCCCUGGAAGGGGCCCUGGGGUCUCUGAGUCGCGCUCAGCGGGUGCUUGUGCUCCCUGCCCAGCUGUGCUGAAGUCCCGAGGGACAUGUCCGCUGCUUGCGGGUCGGUUCCUGAGGAAUUGGAAGUGUCACGAGAUGUGGCCCUCGUUGGGCUGGCGCUCAUUGGCCUCCCUUGUGCCUGUGCAGGAGGAGCUGAUUAACUCAGUGGUCAUCUCGCAGCUCUCCCACAUCCCCGAGGAUAAAGACCACCAGGUCCGAAAGCUGGCCACCCAGUUGCUGGUGGACCUGGCAGAGGGCUGCCACACACACCACUUCAACAGCCUGCUGGACAUCAUCGAGAAGGUGAUGGCCCGCUCCCUCUCCCCACCCCCGGAGCUGGAAGAAAGGGAUGUGGCCGCAUACUCGGC
rnacentral:sRNA from 1 species